ensembl:lncRNA
GCCACAAAUAAGAUAAGAAAGAAAUUAGUUCAAAUUGACUUAAACAGUAGAGAAGAUUUAUUGGCUCAUGUAAUUGAAAAGUGAAUUUUAAGACUAGUUCGAGGUGCAUUUCAUUAAUAUUGUCAAGAGCUUGUCUACUCACUCCACGCUUCCCUAUACCCCUGUGUGGCAUCAGCUUUUUCUGCACUCAAAAUAGGGCUGCUAACAAUUCCUGGGGUGGAACGCUCCUAAUGUACGUAGAGAGAGUGCGGAUCUCUUUACGAGGCUCUCUCCAGCAGGACAAGGCAGGCUUUUUGCUCAGAGUUUCAGCAAAUUUGCCUCACCUGUUGCUGGUCCGGUUGAUUAUCAGGGGAGAGAAUAUGGUGUUUACCCCGCCAGCAUCAUUCUCCCUGCCCUUAGAACAGGAGCUCGGGGCGAGCUUCUGCCGGAGCCCCUGGGUUUCGGGCCCAAGCGUCCGUCUUCCACUGAAGGGCAAGGACUGCACCUACAGUGUGCCAGGAGGUGCUCAGCGUUUGAGGGAAUCAAAACGUGGUGCCGCCUACAAGUUGAACAGAAGGGAAGACAGUGAAUUUGGGAAGAAGGAGGCAUAGUAUGGGGUCAGGUGUCUGCCAUAGUAGCUUAAGGACAUUCCCGCGGCUGUAAAGGAAAUCCAGUUGGAGUGGUGCACGUGGAGCGAGGGAACACGCACAGGGGCACAAGGGUGGCACGUUGAAAGAAAAGUAGCUUCGCAAGGACAAACCUGUUGGGUUCAUCGGAAGCCAGGGCAAGCUGCAGAUACAAAGUCAUGUUCCCCGUGAAGAUGCAUCUAUCCCAGAGUUGAAAAGCAUCUGGAAUCAGAAUCCUCCGAAGAGCUGGUUUUGAAGAAUAAUACUGUCUCCUUUUCCUGACUAUUUGGCUCACUGACUUUGUGGAGUGGACAACUUCUGGUUGUGGACCACAAACCUCCAGUUGGUCAUGCAGAGACUGCAUCAGCUGUAUACCGCUUCUGCCCUGGGGCCGACUUCAGUCCUGUCAGCCAGAGCUGUUCUUAUUUAAUCUGUAACUAGUCUCAUUGUAAAAUGUGCAUUUUCUUUGUGUGCCUGGAAUCUGUCUUCUUACAUGGGCUUGACCACAUAUAACAUGCUUGAUGCUCCUUUAUUGUAACCCAAUUCCUUGCAAUCACCCUGUGUAGUUAGGGUACAUUUUAAC